GCCGCGUGUAGGAAGAAUGCCCUAUGGGUUGUAAACUACUUUUAUACAGGAAGAAACACUGGUAUGUAUACCAGCUUGACGGUACUGUAAGAAUAAGGACCGGCUAACUCCGUGCCAGCAGCCGCGGUAAUACGGAGGGUCCAAGCGUUAUCCGGAAUCAUUGGGUUUAAAGGGUCCGCAGGCGGUUUAUUAAGUCAGAGGUGAAAUCCCAUAGCUCAACUAUGGAACUGCCUUUGAUACUGGUUAACUUGAGUCAUAUGGAAGUAGAUAGAAUGUGUAGUGUAGCGGUGAAAUGCAUAGAUAUUACACAGAAUACCGAUUGCGAAGGCAGUCUACUACGUAUGUACUGACGCUGAGGGACGAAAGCGUGGGGAGCGAACAGGAUUAGAUACCCUGGUAGUCCACGCCGUAAACGAUGGAUACUAGUUGUUGGGAUUUA
rnacentral:rRNA from 2 species